CUUCCAAAGGAAGAGUCCGAUCCUCGGAUGGACUGCUAUUCUCCAGAUCUAGGCAGCCUCAAGUCUCUUCUCUAAGAUAGGUCAGUACAUCUCAACAAGAUCCCUAGUAGAGACUCUAGGACAACAGGAUCGGCCCCACACUCUCAUGUCCUGACUCCGAUGGAUAGGGAUCGAGAUAGAGAAGAUUCUAUCCGCAAGUUG
rnacentral:lncRNA from 1 species